rnacentral:misc_RNA from 1 species
AACGAAUUUCGAGCAGCGGUGGGCAAGGCAAGCACCAAAGGCGAUCGCCAACAGUUUGCUGAAAAGCCUACAUGAGGAUGUUCAUCUUUUUCCGCCACCGUCGGAUGUCGGCGGGCCGGAAUCGUGGAACGUGCAGGUGUUCAGGUCAAUUGAUGAUGCGUCGGUGGUCGGUUUCCCGUCCGAUCCAGCUGUUGCUUCCGAGAUGGGACUGAUGAGUGGGAAGGACGUGACCAUCGAUCAAAGCAUACACUCAGGGUACAUCGAGGCCAUUCGGAGGGCUAAGAGGUUUAUCUACAUUCAGAACCAGUACUUCUUCGGGAGCUGUG